GGCCCGUUGGUCCAGCCGUUAAGACACCGCCCUUUCACGGCGGUAACACGGGUUCGAAUCCCGUACGGGUCACCA
rnacentral:tRNA from 1 species